rnacentral:snoRNA from 1 species
AAGACCGUACUCUGAACAGAAUCGUUUUAUGAGUACAACCUCUUAAUUGAAAAGAAACCGAGUUUCAAAUCCUGAUGAAGACGGUUGCUUUCUCCGCCCGGAGAGCGUUUCGAUUGAACGGCAGGAGAGAGUUCCAGAAGGAUU